rnacentral:lncRNA from 1 species
UGAGAUUUGGUCCGCGCUGGAUGGCUCCUCUGGGAGGCAGGCGUGGGGGUCGGGUGUCGGAGGCCCCGUGCGCCCCCCCACCCCCCACCAGAGCCCACGGCGCUCACGGAGCUCUUUAAGAUAAAUGAGCAAAAUUAAGAGACUCACUGGGGGAAGAAAACACUGGAUGGGAGCGAGCGAGAGCGGAUGGUACUUGGUUUCCUCCCAGAAAUGCAUCCACGUGCGCCCCACUGGGGCCUCCCCCAUCUGCUGCAGACUCCAGGGAACUUCCUCCCCUCAAAGACGAACUUCCAGCCCUGGAGCAUGUUUCUUCCUUUCCUGGGAUGUGGCGCUGAAAAGGGCAGAAACCUCUAGUAAGGCACAAGCAACAGAUUGGGGGUGGAGCAGCAGGUCUCUUUGGAGGUGGCCUGGAAGAAACCGGACAGAGAGGAUGGGAAGGGGAGAAACAGAAGAGUGUGACGAGAUCAUGAAGGAAAGAGGAGGCGUCUACUGAAUGUAAGGUAGAGCCAAAGGCAUCUAUUGAUGACUGAAGAAGAGGCAUGAAUAUGACAAAAACAGGAAGAUAGUGAAAUGAACAUUUACAUUCUGGCAACCUCAGAAGUACAACGAACAGAGGACACCAGCCAGGUAGGGCAAAGGCCUGUGCGCCCCCUUUUGCUGUUACAUGUUUAUCAGAUGCGUGCUCUGUUUCUGUUGUAUUACAUUACUUUUCUCUUCAAUGUCUACUGAGGAAGAACAAGUAGCUCCUCAGGCAAGUCAACUGUUAACUCUGCAGUUUUUAUUUAAUCUCCCAGGAAUGUAACCCUUAACUUUAAAGAAUGUAGUGACCAUAAAACUUAUAAGGCAUGUUUCUUAAGGAAAUUGUACCUGUUUAUUUAAUCUAUCAGAUAUGAAUGUUAUAGAAAAUUAAAUUUGUCCACUUAAGCUGUAGAUGAACUUUUCACCUUUCUGAUCAGAAAUUCACCAUUUUAUAGUAUAGGUUCUGUUAUUAAUCAGAAUAUUUCAUUUAGACUCUUUCUAUCCAACUUUUUCUUAGAGGCUAUUCAAAAUAAAGGUGCUUCUAACAGUUUCAUAUCGAAAUACGAUGCAAAGCCUUGCUCUUCCAUGGUAUCCUUUGAGUGAGCCAAACUUAUUUAGCCAUUCCCCUAUAGUUAAAUAGCUAGGAUGUUUCCAACAUCUCACCUUUAAAACAAUAGUGCUAUGAAUGUCAUAAAUGUUUGUAUAUGUAAAUAUGUAGGAUAAAUCCCUAUCAGUAGAAUUUCAAAAGGUAUACGCAAUCAGUAUUUUCAUACAUAUUUAAAAUUUUCCAUCCAUACAAAGGUUGCUAACAUAUUUAUUUAAAAUUUUAAAAAUAAUUUUAUAUGCCUCUUGUAACCAGUAAUAGGAUGCAAAGUUUUUGUUUUAAGGUAACAUUGCUCCUCUUCCCCCAUUGUCUCUGUCAUCUAUAGUACUCCCUAAGGUAGUUCAUGUUAUUGCAAGGGUGUGUAUCAUCCCAAACAUAUUGCUUCCACAUACAUAUAUCAGCAUACAUAUAUAUAUAUGUAUAGCAUAUAUAUAUAUGAGCACAUAUUAAUAUAUGCCCAUGCACAUACAAGCAUGUUUUUGUUAAUUUUUACUGAAAUGGAAUCAUGCUACAUACUUAUGAACAAAUUGCUUCUUUCACCUUAUAUCACUUAUAAUUGUUAUUCUACAAAUCAGUACAUAUAAAAAAUACAUAUUUACAUAUGUAAUACUCUAUCUGUUAUAAUUUUCUGCAUGCACAUGUAUGCAUAUACAUAUAUUCAUAAACAUAAAAAUCUAAACGGGAUUUUUUUGGG